CACACUUAGCUGCCUUUUUUAAAGCAUCUUCAAUACACCUUCUCUUAUGAACUGCACUCUUAAAAGAUAGUAGCACUUUAGCAGGCACGAUGCACAGUACAUUGCAGCCUUGGAUGAUUAAAGACUCUUGAACUAUUUUUCUCAUGCAAUUCCAGUUAUCUGUUAAGAGGUUUGCGACACUGUGCUUAGUUCUCUAUUUUAAAAAGUUUCCUUGGCAUUAAUUAAAAUCAUUUAAGCCUUAGAGGGGAGCAAAUAUUACCUGCACAUUUCCUGCAAAUUAUACUCACCUUAAAAUUACAACGUUGAGUAAUCUUCUAUUUCAAGUUCUAGCACCUUGGUCCUUGACAACAUUUAUUAUUCCUCUCGACUAACCAUCUUUGAGGAUUCUACGCUCCUCUAUGGAACCUCAAUUUCCACCUAUCUUUUUUUUUCUCACAGUUUUUAAGCUUUUAGUCUUUUAGCCCCAGAAAGAUCAUGGUGGCAUGGUUUGCAACUUGUGAACUCAUUUGUUUCUGAAUUGUUUUAACUCUGUUCAAAGAUAAGUUAGAACACCAUUUAAACCAGCUAAUUUGAUGGACUUGUCAGUGAACAAUAUGAUAAAGUGACGUGGGAAGGCUUCAUCUUGGCAUUUCCUACACUGCUGUUUAGUUUAUUUACUUACAGUCCUGAUGCAAUAGUGGGUUAUUUUCUUUUUAUUAUAGGUUGAUGAGUUUGAUUUUUGUAAGAAUUAGCUUCCCUCCAAAUAAUUUAUUCACAAAAUAUUCUAAUGAACUGAACAAUCUUUUCUUCGUUUGAUAGUUAAAAUUGCUUGAUUGCGUGUUGUCCCAAAGAAAUAUUUGUUGUAAGUUCCCCAUGCAAUACUUCCUUGAGACUAUAUCAGGUAAAACCAUGAUCGUCUUUAUGGUUUUAUACGAAACAAAAAAUAUAUAUACCAUAUAUCUAAAGUACAAAUUUGUUACCUCAUGUUUGGUUAGAUUAGCACGAUUUGAAUUUUCGUACAAUUUCUUAUAUCCUCGAGAUCUUCCUUCCUAUGAUCUUAUGUUGAACUUGGAGUGUGGUCUCCAAAUUAAGCACCCUUCUAGAAAAACCCUAACUAUAUUUUUUCUAGACUGAAAGAGAGAAUACGUAUUUUUGUUUUUCCUCUGAUAGAAAAGUCUACUCAUACGUUUAUGAUCAAUAAUAUAUAUAAUAACAUUGAUCUUUACCCUCUCUCAAGAAGUUGGUCUAUAUUAGGCUAGGAAUUGAAAGAGAUCUCAAGGGAUUCCUUUAUUGACUCCAAUAUUUAUCUAGAUAUUAUUAUCUAAUAAUAAUAUUCAAAAUAAAUAUUAGUUACAAUUAAUUCCACUAAAUAAUUGUAAUUGUCACUUUAGUCCAGGAAUUAAUUAAAUAAACCAUUUAUUACUAAUAAACUGUAAAUAUUUCUUUUAUAAAUGUACAUAAAUAUUUCAGAAUCAAUUAAUAUAAUUCAAAUACAUUUAAAUUAAUUUCAUAAGUCCAUAAUUUAUCUCUAUUUGAUCAUAAAUUGAUUUAACAAUUAAAUUAAUAAUUUUUAUAAUAAAUAUUAAAAGACUCGACCAAGAUUCUAUGAUUAAUGAUAUUAUAAAAAAUCUUAUAGAUGUUUUGACAAUAAUAAUGUUCGUAAUAUUAAUUAAAUAUAUUAANNNNNNNNNNNNNNNNNNNNNNNNNNNNNNNNNNNNNNNNNNNNNNNNNNNNNNNNNNNNNNNNNNNNNNNNNNNNNNNNNNNNNNNNNNNNNNNNNNNNAUAUAUAUAUAUAUAUAUAUAUAUAUAUAUAUAUAUAUAUAUAACGAUAUUAAGUCUACUAUAAUUUCAAAUUUAAGACAUUUUACUAAUUAAUAUUUACGUGAACAUAUUUUACAAAUAAAAUAUUAUCACAUGAUCCGUUUAAUGCACACUGUUAAUGCAUUUUAGUACUUUAAUUAGAAGUCCAACUUCCAUGAUCAAUAUAAAUCAUCUCUGUUAAAGUACUAUAACCUACAGGAUAAUAUCUCCAAAUUAUCCUAGGUUACAAAUCAUUAUUUUUUUUAUUUAUAUAUUACAAAUUUAUAUCUUUUGUGUAUAACAUUUACUUAUACACAUAAACCAUAACAUAUAUAAUAUGGAGAUAUAUAUAAACAAACUAAAUAAUCAUUUAAUGAAUGAUGAAUCAAUGUCAUUAAAUGAUGAAUCAAUGUCUAACAUAAAUAAAUAGAUAAAUAGGAUUUUUAUAGCAAAAAAAUCUAACAUUAGUUAUUUCUCUUUUGCUUUUGUUGAGUUUUGUACAUGUCUCUUAUUGAAUGCAGGCCCCUCCUGUGAUAGUGUUCUCUUCCGCUUGUGCAGGAUUAGCAGGUUAGAGUUUCUCAAUAAUGUCUCGUAUUGGCAUACUCUUUGCUUGUGCUUGGUUACAUGUAUUAUUUUCAAUGUAUGUAUAAUUUUGGAGAAACUUUUUAAUAUGAUAACUCCAGCAAAAUCCUCCAUCAUUCUCUUUAAACUGCACUUUCUUUGUGUGAUUUUUAAUCUAAAUAUGUCUCUACACAUGCUAUAUUAUGGAGAUUUUCUUUCAAGUUAUUCUGGAACUGCAACCAUGUUUUUUUUAAUAAAAUGUACAACAGCUUCUAUUUAUUUCUGAUAAUACAUAUUUUUGCUAUUUCCUUUUUGGGAUUUGUGGUUGAGACAAGUGAUCGAACUCUUCUCUGAGGUUGCGCUUUAAAAGAAAAGAGAAUAGAAGGUCGUCCUUCUUACAUCUACUAUGAAGCACAACGAUUGAUCGAUCAUAUUCCUUCUCUUCAUUACUCUCAUGCAAUUGCAUGUGCAUGUGAUAGAGUACUUGUUGGGCUGUUUUCUUUUCUAAGGUGUAGCCCAUCAGUUAUGGUGCUUGAGAAGCCAACUUUAUUGUCAAAAGUUCAUUCUCUCCAGGAGGGAAUGAAAGUUUUGAUUUGCUGCAUCUUUAUUGUUUCUUUGGAUUGUUAAUUUAGACAAAUAAAUUGUUCUCCCCCCUAUACUCUGUCAUGAUACCUGGAUGUUAUUGCUUCCUCGCCAAUUUUAAGAGAAACUUGAUAUUUUUUCUGGCCUCUGCGAACCAAAUUCAAUUAGGGGGAUCUAGGGAAUUGGUGAGUUUCUGUACUCCAUUUUUGAGUUCCGUGGUUUCCGUUAAUUUUUAAUAUAGUUGACACUCCUCAAGUUUAGGUAGAGAUGAUUUAGGGAAUAGCAGUUGAUCCUUCAUUACAUUUGGGGACAAUUCUCUUUCUUUGAACUCAAGUAUACUGCUAUAUUUAAACACGUUUAUGUUUGUUGUGUGUCAACAUAUUUUGCGUGGGUUUGUUAUUCUGCAGGUGGUGCUGUUCCAGCACUUGCUCAACUUGCAUCUUCAUCUUAUCAUGCAACUGUCUCAUCUCCAUCAUUGCCCCCUCCAUCCUCACAGGAUGGAAAGAUAAGCAAAUCAAGAACCUCCUCCUCCACCCUGUAAGGAUUUAUUAACUGUUCCAUGGACUUAUAUGGCAAGGCAAAAGAGAGGGAGAUUCAUAGAUCCCUUGAGCUUAUACAAACAAGGGUUGGCAGUGGUUGUGACUAGAACUUCAGUCGGAUGGGCUGAUGGGGAACAUAGGCUUCUAACAUGUGUAGAGUUGUUCACUCGAUUUUAAAUUUUACAACAUAAUACAUAUAUAGAUUGUGAUUUUCUUUCCUGAAUGUAGAAAGAUGUAAACCAAUAUGUAAUGUGAUUCUCCAUUUUAUAAAUCUAGUACAGUUUUGCUGCGGGUUUAAAGCUCAUUGAAUCUUUUGUGGAAUCCUGGAAGUUAAAUGUCUGCCUGGUCGUUGGAUAUUUCGUUUCAGGUUUUGAGAUUUAUCAACCGAGAAUCAGCCCAGUGACGCAAGUGGGCACUAUCAUCUGCAGAGAUUCAUGUGGGGAACUGUAUGAACUAGGUAAGUUAUCUUAUUUACUGAGAUUACUGUAGUAGGACUUGGUAAAUUUCAGUGAAUAGAAUUCCAUUAGGGGUUAACAAACUUUUUAAAAAAGUUGUGCACCCAAAUAAGGGAGGGAAUUUGGUAUAAAUUUUGCAACUUUAAUAUGAUAUUUGCCAUCUUUGCACCGACUGUUUAUGCUUGAAUCCCACGCAUGCAUUAUUGAACGGAUACAAAUGAUAAUCUCUUGGCACUUUAUACACAUUUGAGGCAAUUUAAAGAGUCUUAUUAAUGAAGAAUGUGCUUUAGACUCUUCGCUCAAGCUAAUAAUUACAUUAGUUUUGAGAUUGUAUAUCUGUGUGUUAAGCAAAUGAGUGCUUGCUAAACAUAGACGGCAACUCGUAGAUAUAUCAUUAAUACUGACCCUACUGAGGAUCUUAUCAUUUGGGCAGCCUAUAUGCUGAUUUGAAGAAUCACCCUUUAUUUCAUGAAGAAUGCUAAAUAACUAGACAAAAUUUGUAUACCAUGCAUCUGGUAUAUGUAUGCCUACACAACGAUUGGUGCGUUUGGAAGUUAAAAGUGUAAGCCACGUUAGUAAUAAUCUUUUUGCAGAAGCAGAAAUGCAAUAAAAUUCAGGAAAGAACAGUUUCCUUAAGACAAUAUUUGGUCGUGGCAGGACAAAUUGUCUCCCAGGAUACAACAAUGCUCUGAAGCGAACUUUACCGUGUGUAGAAAGAUUAUCACUAAGUAGGAAGGAAGAACAAAGAAGAAAACCACUCUCUCUACAACAUGGGAGAAUACUCUUAUAACAAGAAUUGAGAGAGUAACUCCCAAAUAUCCAAUUAAUCCAUCAUUGAUGCCCACUAUGCCCACUAAGCCUUCAUAAAGUAGGCCAUCAAUUCUCAUUCAUUAUCAUCCCCACUAAGCCUUCAUAAAGUAUGCUCAAUCAAUAUCAUCCGUUUCUCAACAAUCCCCCACAUGAAUGAAAAUUGAAAACAAAGGAAUUCGAUGUGGUGAUAACUCUCUACAGUUGAUAUUAGCAUAGGAUAGGUAGGCAUCAACCCUUGAACCUUCCCUUGUGAAGUAUAUUUACUUUACUGGCUGACUAGUAGACGUGAUGUCCUUGAACUAUUCUGCCGUUUGUGUAAACGAUGAUAUACCUCACACAAAUACCAACAUAACACGGUUUUGGUUCUCAUGGUUAUGUUCAUUAUGGUCGUGAACAUCUCCUGGUUCUGCAAGAAUUGAAGAGAACUAAACUCAUUAGUUUUCCUUGAAGCGACCCCACUUCAUUCUCACAUAGGUGAUUUUAUCUUUUUGUUCAGAUUACUGACACACAAGAUCAAUCAUUAAAAGCAUAGCUUAACCUUAUCCGAUUUCAUAUCACUGUUUAUAGAUAAGGGUUAGACCCCUACAAUGAUAAUACAUUGUCUAUGCAAUUAGGUUGUCCCAUUGAACCUAGAUUCUGGGAUCUCCAGUCAACAAGGUUGGGUUUUCCUUCACAUAGAACCUUUAAAUAUUUAUGGCCUUCAAUCCCAUUCUUCUUGAUGUCGUUUCAACUUGAUCUCGGUUUAAACCUUUGGUUAGCGGAUCCGCAAUGUUAUCCUUUGAUUUUACAUAAUCAAUAGAGAUAACCCCCGUUGUGAUCAGUUGCCUAACGGUAUUGUGACGACGACGCAUGUGUCUCGACUUACCGUUAUACAUCACGUUCUGUGCUCUUUUAAUCGAUGCUUGAUUAUCACAAUAUAAACAAAUUGUGUGCACAGGCUUAGGCCAUUCAGGAAUAUCCUCCAAGAAGUUUCGUAACCAUUCGGCUUCUUCUCCGGUUUUAUCCAGAGCUACAAACUCAGACUCCAUCGUGGAUCUGGUUAUGAUCGUUUGCCUUGAGGAUUUCCAGGACACUGCUCCUCCUCCCAGAGUGAACACGUAUCCACUUGUACCUUUGGAGUUCUUUAUAUCAGAAAUCCAACUAGCAUCAGAGAAUCCUUCUAAUACUGCAGGUUCUCUCGUAUAGUGCAGUCCAUAAUUACGAGUGUAUCUUAGAUACCGAAGUAUCCUAACGAUAGCUUUCCAGUGGUUAUCCCCUGGAUUACUCGUGUAUUUGCUUAAACUGUUUACAGUGAAAGCAAUAUCAGGUCUUGUACAAGUCAUGAGAUACAUCAGACUGCCUAUAAUCCUUGCGUAUUCUACUUGGUCAACGCUUUCACCUUUGUUUUUACAGAGGUGCUGGCUGAUAUCUAGAGGAGUUCUAGCUUCACUAGAAUCAUCCUUGCUGAACUUCCCAAGUAUCUUGUCCACGUAAUGUGACUGGGUUAAAAUGAAACCAUUAGGUGAACGCUUGAUUUGAAUUCCCAAAAUCACAUCAGCCAGUCCCAUAUCUUUCAUAUCAAACUUAGAGUUUAACAUAUCCUUAGUAUUCUUCACCAUAUUUUCAUUACUACCCACAAUCAGUAUGUCGUCAACAUACAAACACAGAAUAACAUAUCCUUUGUUUGUGAUUUUGACAUAAAUACAUUUGUCACAUUCGUUUAUAUUAUAGCCAUUAGCCAUCAUGACAUCAUCAAAUUUCUUAUGCCAUUGUUUUGGUGCUUGCUUUAGUCCAUAUAAGGACUUCACCAAUUUACACACUUUUCUUUCCUGGCCUGGAACUACACAACCUUCAGGUUGUUCCAUGUAGAUCUCUUCAUCAAGAUUUCCAUUCAAAAAGGCUGUCUUAACGUCCAUUUGAUGUACUUCGAGAUUCCGUAAAGCGGCAAUAGCAAGUAUCAUCCUAAUAGAGGUUAUUCUCGACACUGGAGAAUACGUAUCAAAGUAAUCAAGGCCUUCCUUUUGUCUAUAUCCUUUUAUAACCAAUCUGGCCUUGUACUUAUCAAUUGUUCCAUCUGCUUUCAUUUUCCGUGUGAAAAUCCAUUUAGAACUUAGUGGUUUCGUUCCCAGAGGAAGGUCCACUAAUUCCCAGGUAUGAUUUUGCAUAAUGGAAUCAAUUUCACUUCUUAUAGCCUCUUUCCAUAAAGGACUAUCUGUUGAAUUUACAGCCUGACUGUAAUUCUGAGGUUCAACCUCUAGCAUAUAGGUUAGAAAGUCUGGUCCAAAAGAUUUUUCAACCCUUGCCCUUUUACUUCUUCUAGGCUCUACCUUUUCAUUUCCUUCUACUUCAACUUCAUGUUGAAUGUCUUGACUGUCUUCAUUAACAAUCUCAAGAGAUCUUUUCGAACCCGAUUCAAUCUCUUCACGUUUGCAUGGAAAAAUGUGUUCAAAGAAUGAAGCAUUCUUUGAUUCCAUGAAUGUGUUCUUGUGUAUAUCAGGAUUCUUAGAAUCAUGAACAAGAAACCGAUAUGCGUUACUGUGAAGCGCAUAACCAAUGAAAAUACAAUCCACCGUCUUUGGACCUAUUUUCAUUUUCUUUGGCAACGGAGCCAAAACUUUUGCAAGGCACCCCCACACUUUUAAGUAGUUAUAGGAAGGUUUCCUUCCUUUCCAUAACUCAUAUGGUGUCUUGUCUAAUUUCUUACGAGGCACCUUAUUUAAAAGGUGAUUAGCUGAUAAGACAGCUUCCCCCCACAUGUUCUGUGGCAACCCAGAACUGUUUAGCAUCGCAUUCAUCAUCUCUUUUAGAGUACGAUUCUUGCAUUCCGCUACCCCAUUAGAUUGAGGAGAGUAAGGUGGAGUAACCUCAUGAAUAAUACCAUGUUGGGAGCAGAACUUACCAAAUGGUUCAACAUAUUCACCACCACGAUCACUCCUUACCACCUUAAUUUUCUUAUUAAGUUGGUUUUCAACUUCCUGCUUAUAAAGAACAAAUUUCUCUAACGCUUCAUCUUUGCUUUUAAGCAAAUAUACAUAGCAAUAUUUUGUACUAUCAUCAAUGAAAGUGAUAAAAAAUUUAUUACCCCCCCCCCCCUUGUUUGGAUAAAUUUUAAAUCACAUACAUCACUAUGUAUCAGAUCAAGUGGUUCUGUAUUUCUUUCAACUAUAUGAAAUGAAGAUCUUGUUAAUUUUGAUUCAACACAAAUUUCACAUUUAUGUUUAUGAUCAAGUUGGAAUGUUGGAAUAUGUUGUAAAUUAAUUAACCUACGUAGGGUAUUAUAAUUUACAUGUCCAAGUCUACCAUGCCAUAAAUUAAAUGACUCAAUGAUAUAAGCAGAAGAAGUAUUAUUCUUAUUAUUAAUCAUUGCAUUGGACUUGCUAGAGAUGGCAUUAAUUUUCCACAUGCCAUUACAAACAUACCCCUUUCCCACAUACAUUCCCCCUUUUGACAAAACAAACUUGUCCGAUUCAAAUACCAUCCUAAAACCAUGAAUGCUUAGGAGGCUGCCAGAUACAAGAUUCUUCCUAAUUUCAGGAACAUACAAAACAUUCUUCAAAGUCACUUCUUUUCCCGAAGUCAUCUUCAGAAUUACAGUACCACUUCCCUUGAUCUUGGAAGUUGCAGCAUUGCCCAUGUAGAGCUUCUCCCCAUUCUUGCUGGGAACCAGUUCAGCAAAGGAAUCUUUGUCACAACAGACAUGACGUGUGGCACCGGUAUCCAGCCACCAUUCCCUUGGAUUUGAGUCAACAAGGUUGACUUCAGAAAUCACAGCACAUAAGUUGAUGUCAGACACUUCUCUAGCAAUUUCUUCCACAACAUGUGCUUCAUUAGGCUUCAACUUUCUAGGCAGCCUACAAUCAGAGGACUUGUGCCCAGCCUUGUUGCAAUUGUAGCAUUUUCCAUUAAAUUUUGGUUUCUUGGAAAUGCCACCCUUAGGACCCAAUUUGGACACAAAUUGAGGCUUUUUGCCUUUCUUGGAGUCUUUAUUGACCUCCACCACAUUCACCCUAGCCUCAGAUUGGUGGGCAACGUUGGAAAAUUUCUUCUCCGAGCCUUUGUUGUCUUCCUCAAUUCGAAGUCUAACAAUUAGUUCUUCAACUGUCAUCUCCUUUCGCUUAUGCUUAAGGUAAUUUUUGAAGUCUUUCCAACCAGGUGGUAACUUUUCAAUAAUACAAGCCACUUGAAAAGAUUCACUAAUUACCAUACGUUCAGCAUGAAUCCCAUGAAUAAUCAGCUGGAGUUCUUGAACUUGAUUCACAACAGUUUUGGAAUCAACCAUUUGGAAAUUCAGGAAUUGGCUCACUAAAAAUUUCUUAGCGCCAGCAUCUUCUGAUCUGUAUUUCCGGUCCAAGGAUUCCCAAAGUUCCUUUGCCGUUGUCUUAAUACUGUAUACACUAUAAAGUGCAUCAGUUAGACCGUUCAAAAUAUAAUUACGGCAAAGGAAAUCAGAUUGUUUCCAUGCCUCAAUUGCAUUGUAGGCGGUGACAUUAUCCACCUCAUCAUCUCUGAUAACAGGAGGAUCAUCCUUCAAGCAAUUAGCCAAAUUCAGCAUAGUAAGGUAAAACAACAUCUUCUGUUGCCAAGUCUUAAAAUUCACACCAGUGAAUUUUUCUGGUUUUUCGCUGUGAUUGACAGGUAUAGUUUGGCGGGGAGCCGCAAUCUGGAAACCAGACCCGUAAAUAGGACCAGAACCAAUGUUCUGUGAACCAGAUGCGUUCUGUCCAUCGGUGCCAUUCUGUGAACCAGAACCUAGAUUGUUCUGUGGACCAGUUGGAACAAUUUCAUUCUCAGGAAUAUUCAUUCUAAAAAUACAAACAGACCAAGUUAGUCUAAAAUUAACAAACUGUUUUGAAUAGGAACAAAUUAUUAUUUAAUUAUUCCAGAACGGUCCAAGUGAAUAUUAACUCAAAACAGUCCAAAUAAGAAAACCAAGUCAAGGUAUUCCAAAGCAAAGGUAUAACCUGCAACUUAAUAAAAGAUUAACCAAAACAAAAAUAUUGUCUUAAGAUUGUAAGCCACGUUAGUAAUAAUCUUUUGCAGAAGCAGAAAUACAAUAAAAUUCAGGAAAGAAAUCUAUAUUGUUAUUAAAGUAAAACUCAAAAUAAAAUAAAACAAAAUUAACCUUAAUACAAUGGACGUUGAACAAACUAGUAGACUGUAGCUUUGAGGACUGUAAGAACAGUUUUCUUAAGACAAUAUUUGGACGUGGCAGGACAAAUUGUCUCCCAGGAUACAACAAUGCUCUGAAGCGAACUCUACCGUGUGUAGAAAGAUUAUCACUGAGUAGGAAGGAAGAACAAAGAAGAAAAC
rnacentral:lncRNA from 1 species